AACCAAUGGAAAUUUCAGAGGAAAUUUAAACCCCAGAAAAUUCUGUAACUGGGCUCUUGAGCCACUUGCUGGGGCCUGCUGCCGCCCUGUGGAGUGUGCUUUCGUUUUCAAUAAAUCUCUGCUUUCGUUCCUUCAUGCUUUCCUUGCUUUGUGUGUUCAUUUUGUCCAAAUCUUUGUUCAAGACGCCAAGAACCUGGACACCCUCCACCGGUAACAUAUUUUGGCGAGCCAGACAAGAGGACCCUUGGUGGGCAGUGCCUAAACAGAGACAACUACAGGUUUCUGGCUGUGGCCACUCUCUGGUGAAACUAAGGGGUUUCUGUGUGGAGGUGCCUAACAGCCACCGUCCAGUUUGGGUAAAGAAAGCUUUUUAUGGUUCACUAAGGACAAUCAACCCCUUCGCAAUCUAGAACCAAAAGACUGGAUCUUCUGAGAACAUCUACUUUAAAUAUGGAACUUCACACCAGGACACAAAAGGAUGGUGUGGCAAGCUGAGUCACUAAGGCUGCUCAGGGAAAGGGAACCCAGAAUCUUGGCAUGCCGGCAAAAGGAACCCAAAGAUUGGAUCUUCUGAGAACAUCAGAGAAAGACUGUCCUUGCCAUCCACACUACAGCAAAGCUUUGGAGCCUUGAACCUUGGGUUCAUGAUCUUACAACUGAGAAGGGCCCCUCCACACUCCUGAACUGUACAACCAUUGAAACUCUUAAGGUAAAAUUAACUAGGAAAGUUUAUCUCCUUAAGAAGAUGGCAUCCUUGAUGUGAACAGCUUUUCCCAAGAUCCUGGAUCAAAACGUCUACUAUCACGAGACUCUUAUAUUUGAAUAUAUUUUCCGGUUUAUGCCUUUAGGAACAAUUGAAAUGAAAGGGGGAUCUAUUAUGUGCACUUAUAGGGUAUACUUUUAUUUGUGAAGGAUUUUGCAUCCAGCCUUAUAUGAAUAACCUUGUACUUUAAUAGAUAAAAGAUGAAGGCUCAAUGUAGGUGAGAAAAUGUAGUGGUACAUAUGUUGCCUCAUAAUCAGUCAAAACUCUUCUUAACCCACAUAAUGGAUUAAAGAGAAUAUUGCCAGGAGGCCUUCGCUUUUCUAAAAUGACAUCAUUUGUUAGGUCCUUUUUCCAUAGUUUAGUAUAAAAGAGGCAAUAAUUAGAAAUGUCACCCUCAUAAUAGGCUCUACAGCAAAUUCUACUUUAAAGGCUAUUGUUACACAACAGACUUUAAAUUAUCUUGUAAAAGUUAUGCUAAAUAAUAGAAUUGGCCAAACAGAAAAGUACCUGUGCAGUUGCUGACACCUGUGGCCUAUGGAGAAAUACAUCAAAUGUAGAUUAUACAAUUUCAGUUGUAGGGGAUUAAUGAAAAGACCACCUAGUCAAGCAAGUAGGCUCUUCAUAUAGCUCAUUCUUUAAUCUAUUUAAUUUUACAUGGUUUGGUUUAUGGGGACCCUGGGUAAGGAGCACACUCCAAAUUUGUUAUUAUUCUCCCAGUACUCAUAAUGAUAGUCUCCCUGAUGUGCUAUAUUCUCUUAAAGGUUUUAAAUGUUUGCAUGCAGCCAUCUCUAGAACAUCAAAUGGUCUCUAUUCAACCAGAAUGACAAAAGCUGAAAGAAAUGUGUGACCCUGAGGAUAUCGUAACCUACGAAUGAUGUGCUGAGACUGGAAACCCUAAAUGAUGUUACUGAGAAUGGCACUAAGGCCUUAAGUUUUGGUCACACUGUCACCUAAGUGAGAACCUGGCUGAAAAGGGAGAAUUUUUAAACAACAAAAUUAGAGGAAGCCACUAUUUUGGACUGAGCUCAUGCACUAGGCCCCAACAAACGAAACCAAGCUAAAAUGGAGUCACUCAUCCUAAAUGUGACAUAAUCAAACCAAGGCUUUAAGAACACAGAUAGAUGCUAGAACAGACUACAUUUUGUUUUUCUCCUGUAAACAGGAUGUCUAUCAUAAGGAGGUACCGUCUACUCAGUCCUUAUUCUCUCCUUGCAAAACCCACUUUUCUACUGUUUCCCAGUGGGUUUCAAACCAUAUAAUACAUUUAUGAUAGUGAUAUUAACAUCAAUGACUAAGGUUUUGGUCAAUCUCUCAAAAUUGAGAAAAUGACCAAAAGAGGGAAAUGAUUGCUAAAGCAAACUAAAUAUGGCCUGGGAAGAACUCCAUAGUCUUAUAUUUGAGUUCUUGCAGAUGAACUGUAACUUAGCUUAAUAGUCAGACAAAACUGAAAACCUAACUUAAUAGUAUGCGUCUGUAACAAUGGCUGAGUGUUCGCUAAUCCCAGCGGCCAUACUUCAACCACUCAUAGACUGCUGAAAGUUCAAAGUGCAUUCAAAUAAGGCAAAAACGGAGCUUAACCAGCCUCACUGUUUCUGUAUCUCACUUCCGAUUCCUGUAUGUCACUUUACCUUUUUUGUCUAUAAAUGUGUUCUGACCACGAGGCACCCCAGGUCUCUGUGAAUCUGUUGUAAUUCUGGAGGUGCCUGAUUCGCCAAUCAUUCAUUGCUCAAUUAAACUCCUUUAAAUUUAACUCAGCUGGACUUUUCCUUUUAUCAGGUUGAAUUUUACAUAUCUACUUUAGAUUUUAAUUUCUUCUAUAAAUUAAAAUCUAAUCUUCCAUAAUUUCUGAUAAAAUGUUUGUUAAAUGAACUCAAUGCAUUGGACAAAAAUUUCCUGUUGCUUUUCUUUCAAAGUACAUAAAUUGAUGCUACUUUUUCCACCUUUCUCACAUUUUCUCUGUCCCAAUCUUACACUGGAGGUUCAAUAGUCUUCUUCAUGCCUCAAGUUCUUUCUCUUGUAAUAUGAAAGGCAUGUGGCCACUUUCCUUUUCUAAUUCUUUCAUAAAUCUAAACAUUUUCACUACCUAUUGGUUACUAUGCUCACCAUCUGGGUGAAGGCAUCAUUUGUACACAAAAUCUAUAAAAUAUACUAUUUACUUAUGUAAAAAACCUAAACAUGUACCUGCUGAACCUAAAAUAAAAGUUGAAAAAGAAAAAUAAAUAAAUAAUACCUUCCCAGAAUAUUGCCUAUAGGAACAAGUCUAAAUUCCUUAAUACAGAGUAAAAUGGUAAUAAAAUUCUUGCCCUGAUUUUCUUUCUUAGGCCUAUGUCAUUUCAACACUCCCCAUCACCAUUCUUCCCCAAUCUCUUCCAUUUUUUGAGUCUAAAAUCCUUAAUACAUUGAAUUUUUGUUCAAUAUUUGUUAUAUGCCCAAAACUAUGCUAAGCUGCUGGACUCGUGCUCUUUCACAAUUCCUUUUCUGUUCCUUUCAGACUAGUGAAAUGAUACUGAUUUUUAAUGAUCUGUCUUUUCUUGGAAAUUUCCUAUUUCCAAAUGUCAAAAAAAGAACUUAUAAUUUUUGUCUCUCCAUUUCCAUAACACUUAUCAAUGUCACUGACAUAGCCCUAAUAAUUAUGAGAUGUACAUUGUUAGUUACACACAUUUCUUGUUUUCCUACUUUUGAUGUCUUUAAGGUCAGAGAUUGUAUUUUACUCGUUUGUAUUCCUAUCAGAAAAAAAACUGUGGCUUACAUGUAAUAUACAUUCAGUAAUUGUUUGAAUGAAAAAUGUAUUAAAAUAGUAUGAGUAUCCAAGUUGGUGAUUCAAUUUAGUUAAUCUCUUCUGAUACCCCUACCCCAAAAAGGCAUAUGUAAAAGUGCAUAAAAUUGUGUGUAUGAAUAUGUAGAUCAAUAGAUAGAAGCAUCUGUGAACACAAAUAAGAAAUUUAGGAAAUGAUUAUCUUAGAAACUCUUUAGCAUCAAAUCUUAUUUAUUUAUUUAUUUAUUUGCUAUAGCUUUUGGGGAAAAGUUGGAUUUUUGUUACAUGGAUAAGUUCUCUUGUAGUAAUUCCUGAGAUUUUGGUGCACACUGUACCCAAUCUGUAUUCUUUAUUCCUCACCCCUCUCCCCGCAUUCCCCUUGAGUCUCUGAAGUCCCUUAUAUCAUUCUUACGCCUUUGCAGCCUCAUAACUUAGCUCCCACUUAUAAGUGAGAUCAUACAAAAUUUGGUUUUCCAUUCCUGAGUUACUUCACUUAGAAUAACUGUUUCCAGCUCCAUCCAGGUUGCUGAAAAUGCCAUUAUUUCAUUCAUUUUUAUGGCUGAGUAGUAUUCCAUGGUGUAUAUAUGCCACCUUUUCUUUAUUUACUCUUUGGCCAGUGGACAUUUAGGCUGAUUUCAUAUUUUUGCAAUUGUGAAUUUUGCUACUAUACACAUGUAUGUGCAAGUGUAUUUUUCAUACAAUGACUUCUUUUCCUCUGGGUAGAGACCCAGUAGUGCGAUUGCUGGAUGAAAUGCUAGUUCUACUUCUAGUUAUUUAAGGAAUCUCCAUACUGUUUUCCAUAUGGGUGGUACUAGUUUACAUUCCCAACAGCAGUAUAAAAGUGUUCCCUUUUCACCAUAUUCACGCUAAUAUUUAUUAUUUUUUAUUUUUAAUUAUGGUCAUUCUUGGAUCUCAUUGUAUUUUCAAUUUGCAUUUCCCUGGUAAUUAGAGAUGUUGAGCAUAUUUUCAUGUUUGUUGGCCAUUUGGAUAACUUUUUCUGAGAAUUGUCUGUUCAUGUCCUUUGCCCACUUUUUAAGUUUAAUUUAAUACUAAUCCUACUAUUAUAUAUAUAUAUAUAAG
rnacentral:lncRNA from 10 species